GACGAACCGUGCGAACGUUAUUCGGAAUCAUUGGGCUUAAAGGGCGCGUAGGCGGCGAUAUAAGUUGGAAGUGAAAUCCCAUCGGCUCAACCGUGGAAUAGCUCCCAGUACUGUAUCGCUCGAGGGGGAUAGGGGUCUGCGGAACUACCGGUGGAGCUGGUGAAAUGUGUUGAUAUCGGUGGGAACGCCAGUGGCGAAAGCGGCAGACUUGACCCUUCCUGACGCUGAGUGCGCGAAAGCUAGGGGAGCAAACGGGGAU
rnacentral:rRNA from 1 species